rnacentral:rRNA from 1 species
GCAGCAGCCGCGGGAAUACGUAGGGUGCAAGCGUUAUCCGGAAUUAUUGGGCGCAAAGAGCUCAUAGGCGGUUUGUCGCGUCUGCUGUGAAAACUGGAGGCUCAACCUCCAGCCUGCAGUGGGUACGGGCAGACUAGAGUGCGGUAGGGGAGAUUGGAAUUCCUGGUGUAGCGGUGGAAUGCGCAGAUAUCAGGAGGAACACCGAUGGCGGAGGCAGAUCUCUGGGCCGUAACUGACGCUGAGGAGCGAAAGCGUGGGGAGCGAACAGGAUUAGAUACCCGUGUAGUCCCUGUCUCUUAUAC